rnacentral:lncRNA from 1 species
CGGGGAUAGGGCGCCGACCACGAGCUCCGCCCUUCUGCGAAGGGGUCUGGGAAGUCGGGGCUUUCAGAAGCUGUACGCUUAGUUGCUGCCCUCUUGCGCAUCUUAUCUACGGGUUUCACCUUUCCAACUCUGCUGUUGGGUUCUGCACUAGCUUCCAUACUUGGAGACUGAGGAGGAGAGGAACGUAGUGAAAGGAAGGAAACUAGAACUGAGACUGUUCGUCACUGAGGGACCUUUGUCUGAGAGACGGACUCUUAACUCUGUAGUAGUAUCUUGGCCUCUAACCUGCUCUUAACCCGUCCUUUUUUUUUUCCUCGCUAGUCCUCUCCCCAUAUUCUCACUUUCUCUCUGGUCUUAACGAAAGGAAAUACGGCAAGAUGAGCUAUGCAGAAAGGUGCUACAUAACGUGAUGUGUGAACCAGAAAGAACUGAAAAACAGUGAUAUCAGAAAGCCUUCUGCAAGAACACGUGCAUAAACUUUGAUUCUGUCAGUACUUCAUUUCUGUCCUACAAUAUAGCAGGAAGAAGUUCUUAAAAGCUUGCAAAAAUCAUCUGCCCUUAGGGGGUGGUUGCCACCUGUCGAGACAACCCCACCACGUAGUGAGGAGGUGAGUGGAAGGUCUGUAUGUCAUUGGCUUUAACCCUCUACAAGGCCAAGCUCCAGGAUCGGAAAGC